rnacentral:rRNA from 1 species
CCUACGGGAGGCAGCAGUGAGGAAUAUUGGUCAAUGGACGAGAGUCUGAACCAGCCACGUCGCGUGAAGGAUGACUGCCCUCUGGGUUGUAAGCUUCUUUUAUAAAGGAAUAAAACGCGGCACGUGUGCCUUUUUGCAUGUACUUUAUGAAUAAGGAUCGGCUAACUCCGUGCCAGCAGCCGCGGUAAUACGGAGGAUCCGAGCGUGAUCCGGAUUUAUUGGGUUUAAAGGGAGCGUAGAUGGGUUGUUAAGUCAGUUGUGAAAGUUUGCGGCUCAACCGUAAAAUUGCAAUUGAUACUGGCAGUCGUGAGUACAGUGGAGGUAAGCGGAAUGCGUGGUGUAGCGGUGAAAUGCUGAGAUAUCACGAAGAACCCCGAUUGCGAAGGCAGCUUACUAAACUGUGACUGACAUUGAUGCUCGAAAGUGUGGGUAUCAAACAGGAUUAGAUACCCCUGUAGUC